GCACCUGACUAGGAACUUCAGUGAAUGUGAUUAAUUUUUCUGGGUGGAUUCUAAUUCUCUCAUCUGUGAGUCUGUGUCCAGUCCCCUGGCAAACACAGCUGCCUGUUCAGAGAGCUGCCAGAUUCAUGAUUCCUACGCUGCUUAGCGAAGCCAGCAAAGUUAUUUUUUAGCCAUCAGAGAACAGGAAGGACAGAAGUCUGCUAAGCACCCUCUGUUAUGCUGCAUGCCACGCUACAAAAUAGCUGUUUAAAAGAUCUGCCGACACUCUGCUCUGAUAUUAUACAUGCAAAUUGAGUCUAACUGGAUCUUUCUGCCUCAGUCUGAGCUGAUGAGAAAAGCCCCAUGAUAACCAUAUGUUACACUAACUCUGUAAAGGGAGCAAUGGGAUAUUCUGUACUUUCUGUAGCUGUCACUGGAUAUGUAACUUUUUCCUGAACUGCAUAUUUAGGCACCCGUGGAGAACUGGAUUUACAGCCCUGUGUUUCCUGAGAUACAGUGAUUUUGAUCUGAAAACAAAAGAAAAGAUUUUAAGACAGAAAACAAUAUUCCCUACAACUGUGAGGGGACAAAAAAGUCUCAAUAGCUGCAAAUGCAUCAUAAAGUUAGUUUUUCCAGCUUUCAUGAAAAAUCAACAUGUGUAUUUGUCUCCUCUACCAUUUUCCUUGCUCUUCUUGAAUGAAGG